rnacentral:rRNA from 1 species
UACAGAGGGUGCGAGCGUUAAUCGGAAUUACUGGGCGUAAAGCGCGCGUAGGCGGCUUUGCAAGUCGGGUGUGAAAUCCCCAGGCUUAACCUGGGAACUGCAUUCGAGACUGCAUUGCUAGAGUAUGGGAGAGGGAAGUGGAAUUUCCGGUGUAGCGGUGAAAUGCGUAGAUAUCGGAAGGAACAUCAGUGGCGAAAGCGGCUUCCUGGUCCAGCACCGACGUUCAGGCACGAAAGCGUGGGGGAGCAAACAGGG